rnacentral:rRNA from 1 species
CACGUAGUUAGCCGGUGCUUAUUCUUCAGGUACCGUCAUUACUCCGAGGUAUUAGCCCGGAGCGUUUCGUCCCUGACAAAAGCGGUUUACAACCCGAAGGCCUUCUUCCCGCACGCGGCAUGGCUGGAUCAGGCUUGCGCCCAUUGUCCAAAAUUCCCCACUGCUGCCUCCCGUAGGAGUCUGGGCCGUGUCUCAGUCCCAGUGUGGCUGGUCGUCCUCUCAGACCAGCUACAGAUCGUCGCCUUGGUGGGCUUUUACCCCGCCAACAAGCUAAUCUGACAUCGGCCGCUCCAAUAGCGCAAGGUCUUGCGAUCCCCUGUCUUUCACCCGUAGGUCGUAUGCGGUAUUAGUCCGGUCUUUCGGCCGGUUACUCCCCCAUACGUGGCUACGUUCCGAUGGUAUUACUCACCGUUCGCCACUCGCCACACGGAUUGCCUCCGUGCCUGCCCGUUCGACUUGCUA